GGGGGCGUUACGGUUUCGACGGGGAGCUGCGGUGCGAGAGGUAGCGAGCCGAGAUCCCACUUGCUCGUAAAACGGUGGAAAGCACGAUAAGUGCCAACAACGAAUACGCUCUUGCUGCUUAAUUAAAGCAGCCGUCCAAUCCGGACUUAACCUGGGAGGCCGGUGCGGGCGUCACCUAAACCAGGGUGCUCUCGUCCCAAUUCUCGGAGGGGCGAGCUAAGACCAUCGAGAUAGCCUCCCGGGGAGCUGGCGUGAGGGCGCCCCGGCGGCGAAGUCCAAAUCCCACGCUACGAUCGUAGAAGCCGCUCAAGCUGCCUCUUCGGACGUGGGUUCGACUCCCACCGCCUCCACCA
rnacentral:tmRNA from 1 species